GACAUCAUUGAGGCCGGUGAGGGAGCAAACGGACUACCGCCGCCAUCCGAAGCCGUGGAAACCGAUGACGUAGCUUCUGGCAAAGCUUGCCUUGGAUAGCCUUGAAGUCCUAGUUGGCUGUGUGAUUGUUGAGGAAGGGAACCUUAUUGCGACAGGAAGAAACAGGACUAAUGAGACACGGACUGUAUGUCUACCAUUGCUUCUCCACCCCUUUCUAUAAUUUUUGGCCAACAGCACUUUGUUGUUGUUCUGAAUUGAUACCCUCACAAUUUCCACUCGUUAUUGUUGAUCUUUUUUGUGUUUCUGCCUUAAAUAUUUCUUUAAUAUAUGAUA